rnacentral:rRNA from 1 species
AUGCCCUCAUUUUUGUCUCUACUCUGUAUUUUUCUCAUCCUUUUCUCCUUCAACACUACAACACUCGAAGCAGCGCAAGAAAACAAGUCCGAGAUUGAUCGCCAGGCCCUCCUUUGCUUCAAGUCCGGCAUCAAUUCUUAUCCCCUUGGCAUCCUAGAUUCAUGGAGUGAUGACUCACUUAACUUUUGCAGCUGGAAAGGGGUCAUUUGCGGCACAAAGUUUCCACCCCGUGUGGUCUCACUUAACCUCACCUCCGCUCGUCUCAGUGGGCAAAUAUCUGGAUGUGUAGGCAACUUGACUUUUCUAUCCUCGAUGAACCUUGCCAAUAAUGAUCUGUCGGGAACCAUCCCUGAAGAGUUGGGUAAGCUCCCAAACCUCCAUACGCUGAAUCUUGCCAAUAAUAGUCUGACCGGUGGUAUCCCUCUCUCAUUGACCAAUUGUUCCUCACUCAGCACACUUAUACUGUCUCGUAAUAAUCUCUCCGGAGAGAUCCCUUCUACUUUGUUUGAUAACUUAUCUAAGCUUACUAAGGUUGAUCUCCAGAAGAAUUCUUUCACUGGACUCAUCCCACAUUUCCAUAAGGUCACAGCACUCAAAUUUCUUUGCCUGACAGAGAACUUCCUCUCUGGAAGCAUACCUCCUUCAAUAGGAAAUGUUUCUUCCCUGACAUCUAUAUUGCUCGGCCAAAAUAAGCUAUCAGGAUUAAUUCCAGAAACUAUAGGUCACACUAUAAAACUACUUGAGCUUGACCUAAGUUCCAACAGUUUAUCAGGUAAUGUCCCGGUUUCUCUUUAUAACAUGUCAUCACUCAAAAACUUUAGUGUUGGUAGCAAUGCCCUUGUUGGACAGUUACCAUCUAACAUUGGUUACUCGCUACCAAACCUCCAGUCCCUAAUCCUGGGAAGCAACAGGCUGGAGGGCCUGAUCCCUGCUUCACUAGCCAACAUGUUAAAUCUUCAAAUACUUGAUCUUUCAAACAACUCGUUACAUGGCUCUGUGCCAUCUCUUGGUUCGUUGGCAAACUUGCGUCAGUUAGUUUUAGGGGGGAACUUGCUAGAAGCACAUGAUUGGUCAUUUCUUACAUCUCUGGCAAGUUGCACCCAGCUGACAAAAUUGUCCUUGGAAGGGAAUGCUCUGAAUGGCAGCUUACCUGUAGCAGUUGUUAAUCUUUCCACAACACUACAAGAUUUAUCGCUUGCGUCAAACCAAAUUUCGGGCUCGAUACCUGUUGAGAUUAGCAAUCUUGUUAAUCUCACUUCACUUAGGAUGGAAAGCAAUUUUCUUUCUGGAAGCAUACCUUCUACCAUUGGGAAGCUGCAAUACCUAUAUAUCCUAAGUCUAUCAAACAACAAAUUAUCAGGUCUGAUCCCUCCCUCGGUUGGUGACAUUACUCAACUAGGCAAGCUUUAUCUUAGUGAUAACAAGUUGACUGGUAACAUACCUGGUAGUCUAGGUCAGUGCAAGGGACUUCUUGAACUCAACUUGUCUCGAAACAAUCUCAAUGGGUCAAUACCAGUCGAACUCUUUGCUAACCCUCCAUUUUCCUUCGGUCUGGACUUCUCACACAACAAUCUCACUGGGGAACUGCCAUUGGAACUUGGUACACAUGGUGCUGGUGAUGGUCCAACAUCCCUUCACAUGGAAGGAAACAAGUUUCAUGGACAAAUUCCAGCAGGAUGGCAGUUAGCAUCAACCCUGCAGAUUAAUCUUUCUCACAAUGACUUAUCCGGUUAUGUGCCUAUAUUAUUUGGGGACCUUCCUAAGCUGGAGCAACUCGAUCUAUCCUACAACAACUUGGAAGGGGAAAUUCCUAUAAGUGGGAUCUUUGGGAAUUCUGCCGCAGUAGUUUUGGAUGGAAACAAGGGACUAUGUUCGAAUUCCCUGAGGCUAGCAUUUCCAAUUUGUCCUCGCAUCUCAUCUUCAGCAACUAAAACAAAGCGCCAUCUGUCCUUGCUGGCAACCUUGCUGCUAAUUGUACUACCAUCACUUACUAUUUGUUUCCUAGUAUUGUCAUGGCUUAUGUUCACUCUUUGGGAUAGAGGGGUAUUAUUCACUCUUUUGAAGAAAGCGGUUUUAUCAUUUUCACCACCGGAUGUUUUGUCCAAGAUGUUUCGCUUUUUUGCCCACCACAAGCAAAGAGAAGUGCAUACAUUUUCGUCCAAUGAGGAGAAGCUAAAAAGAGUGUCAUACCGUGACAUCCUUCAAGCUACUGAUUGGUUUUCACCAAACCACAAAAUAAGCUCAACCUGCACUGGAUCAGUCUAUGUUGGGAGGUUCAAGUUUGAGAAUGAUUUAGUGGCUAUCAAAGUAUUCAACCUGAAUGAACCUGGUGCCAAUGAAAGUUUCUUUGCCGAGUGCCAAGUGCUACGGAGCACACGCCAUCGAAACAUUCUCAAGUGUGUGACCUCAUGCUCGACGUUGGACACAGAAAACAAUGAGUUCAAAGCACUAGUCUACCAGUUCAUGGCUAAUGGCAGCCUUGAAAGAUGGCUUCACCCUGAGCAACACAAUGGCACACCAAGUAGAACCCUAAGCUUAGGGCUGAGGAUAUGCAUAGCCGUGGAUGUGGCCUCUGCUCUCGAUUAUCUUCACAACGAACCGACGCCAUCUUUGAUGCAUUGUGAUUUGAAGCCAAGCAACAUUCUUUUAGAUUACGAUAUGACUGCACGUAUUGGCGACUUCGGUUCAUCAAAGUUUCUGUCGCCAGUUUUGGGUAGUCUGGAACACUUGAUCAGUUUCCGAGGAACAAUUGGAUACAUGGCACCUGAGUAUGGAAUGGGUUGCCAGAUCUCGGCAGGAGGUGAUGUCUAUAGUUUUGGAGUGAUUCUACUGGAGUUGCUUACCGGAAAACGACCAACCGAUGAUAUGUUCGUGGAUGGGCUUAGCCUUUGUAAGUUUUGUGAAUCCAUGUUCCCAGACAGAAUUGCAGAGAUUCUAGAUCCUCAUAUGGCGCAUGAGGAGUACCAACGGUGCGAAGAAGUGGACGCGGAAGCAUGGAUGCAGCAAUAUAUUGUCCCGCUGGUUGCCCUAGGGCUGUCAUGUACCGUGGAAUCUCCCAAGGAUAGGCCUGGAAUGAAAGAUGUUUAUGCAAAACUAUCUGCUAUCAGAAGCUCUUUUCUGGAACGUCGUGAUGAUUGA